AGGCCUGGAGAGAGAAGCAGGGCCUGAUUCAUAGCCUCGGUGGCAGCUUUCAAUCAGCCCUUACCUCUCUCUUUCUCUCUG
rfam:Myotis davidii contig211906, whole genome shotgun sequence.